AUCUGGGAAGACUGGUGCGUUCCACUUGCUAAUUCGAAGCUUCACAAGGAUGGAUAUAAUUAAUCCCCCUCCUUCAUAUAAUGACACGCGCUCCACCGGGCGUUAAAGUACCACCCGUGUUCAAAAUCCUAAAGCAAUUCUGUGCAUUGGAUCUCCCAUCCGACGGUGGCAAAUGCCCACAGCAGUACAAUGAGGUACGAUCAGGCUUCUCCUCGCGUCUCUGCACAUCCCAGGGCACGCACUAUCGAGCCCUGUUUUCCGAUCUUCGAGAUCGCGUCUUCCUUUUCGCUCUCGCCUCCCACUUUAGGGUUUCGGCUGCGGGCGACUGCGCCCCCAUCCAUCGGCGAAGUCCACCCAUCGGACAUAGGCAAGAGCCCGCGCCAGUCCCCGGUGAGGGUUUUCUCGAACCCUCCACCUCCUCCCGCCUCUCCCUUUCAGUCUCCAUCCCUAGGCCAUCGGUAGGCUGCUAAGUCGGGGCAGCUAAUGAGGUCAAGUUUGACUGGGUAGAUGUUGCUGAUCUCUAGGCCAUCGGUAGACUGCGCAGUUGGGGCAGCUAAUGAGGAUUAUAAGACAUCAAGUUCUUCCCUAUGUAUGGGUAGCAGGAACUCUUCUGUUUUUCUUCAGAGUUUGCAGAACUCGAUACUCAAAUUACGACAUUUCAGGGUGAAACCUUGACGGAUGUUGUGCCAUGCCCUAGUGUUGGAGGUUCGGAUCAUGGGGAUGCUUAUCUUGUUAGUGCUGUCUCAGCACCUAAUCUACGGCGGCUGGCAAUUUUGGCAUGUUAAAACUUCAUUGAGGUAACUUUUGAAGCCUUAGAAAGUUUUAUGCCUACGGUCUGAUCACAGCAAGGACUAUAACCACGAUGAUUAUGAGAAGGAUGAUUGUUGCUAUACACAUACAUUUGCGGGAGUUCUUCUGCAAUAUCUUUGCCUUGCUUAGAGCAUUAACUCCAGAGCUAACAAAGACACCAGCACGGUUAACCUGCACAAAAGACAUUGUAAUUGUACUGUUAUAAUUUCAUAAUCACUUGUAGAGAAGCCGUCGGACUCUUACCUGGUCCUCAAUGUUAUCAAGCAUUUCACCUUGUGCCUCAAUCAACACUGCCAUGUCCAGGAAUAUCUGAUGAUGAAAUUAGAAAUAAAAUAAUGAAUUCUGAUACACUCCAUCAGUUGCAAGGAUGAGCAAAGCAAAGGAAGUCCGAAGAUCAUGGCCUUCUUGAAAGAUGCAACAUAUGCCCUUAGUUUAUGUGAAAGUUUAUCUUUUAGUCCUCACAAAGUUGCUAAAUUUCAUCCAGAAAUUUCUUUCAUGUUUUCCAAGCAGAUUUUAGAAGGAAGGAAGUUGUAUUAUGUGCAAAAGAGAAUCAAAAUCAUCUCUGUUGUAUGAAUUGGACAUAGCCGCAUUGACCAAGAAUGCCAAUUCUUUGGAUAUUAAGUAACAAGUCUUUACUCUGAUGCUACAAUGAUGCAGUUUGUUGAACUCUCACACACACAUCACUGCUGUUUGUUGUGCAAAUUGCAUUCUUUUUAUCUUCAAAAUAUAUGCUUUUGGAAUUCUGUUCUUUCUCCAUCUCCAUGCACCAGAUUCUCCUCUCUCUUUGACUUGAUGUAAAGCAAGUGAUGCUGGACACAGUAUGUCCAUGGAGCAUACAGCGGGAUUAUCAUUGUGGAAGCAUACAGUGGGAAUUAUCAGACUUGUGAAAGUGAUGCUGCACACAGAUUUCUGCAAGUGAAAGUACCUGCUGCAACUCAAGAAGCUUCUUUUCUAUGUCUCUCACUGCAUCAUGGCGCUCUUGGAUUUCCGCAAGUGUGUCCAGUACCUGCAAAUGAAAGACAAAUAGAGUUCAUUCCAAGCCUCUUCUAAUAUUUGCAUUGUUCAUGAUAAAUGGGAGCACGGCAAAAUAAAGCCAAGGAGUAGAACCUGUCCACGUCCCUGCUCCUGAAUAGCUUUUGCAAAUAUUUGAUCCCCGUUUCCAGUUUCUAUCAGUCGAUCAAUUGUCUGCAGGAAUCAAGAAGGACCACAUAUGAACACAGCUGCUAGGGCCAAAUCAACUUUGAAAUAUGAUCUUCUUACCUCUUCAUUAGCAUGAGUGCCUGUUACUGUUCAUAUGGAAUUUAGGAACAAAAUAAGAGAAAAUAAAUCAGACAAAUGACCAUAACAACUGAGAAUAACAUCCAAUAAAGCAUUGGAGAUAAGCUGUGAGAGUAAUGAAUGGUUUCAUGGAGUUAGAAGGGAACCUGUGAAGACUCUUCUCUCGAUGACCUCACGGUAUUCUUUCUGUAUCGUUUCUCUUAGAGUCUGCAUUACACAUUUGAAAAUAAGAAAAUGAGAUUAUCAUUUACCAAUUAAAGUGAAGAUAUUAUAUAUUUUGCAGGAAAAAGAUGAUCAUCACGUGCUUUAACUGAAGUGAGAAUAGGAAUAUCAUUUGUGAGUAUGCAUAUUUUCCUUUAGUAUUCAUAGGCUCAAUGGUUGAUGAGGUUAAAUGCAUGGAAAAAAACCAUAGUUUCGGCUGCAAAGAUGGAAAAUAACUUCUUGCAUUAUUUUUUUUGUUAUUCAUCUUACACCUCAUUAGGCAUAUUCUUAUGAUGAAAUCUUGUUAUGACUUUUGUAUAUGAUGAAAUGAGACAGAUCUUUUAUGCCAGUGAUUCUGAAGUUAAUUUACCAAACAUGACAAAUCAAAUGAAAAUAUGCAUAUAUUGGGAAA